AUAGACGGUAAAUAUUGUUCAGCCAACAGUAAAAUCAUGGAAGCCAGAUUGAGAGUGUGGUGAGCAAGCUUAGAGCCUACUAAGAAGCCAAAAGCACUCCGGAGGAAUCCACCUAGUUACAUAGGACUGUAUACAAUUUUACUGUCUAAU
rnacentral:other from 1 species